UGCAAGUCGAACGAACCUUCGGGUUAGUGGCGGACGGGUGAGUAACGCGUGAGAAUCUGCCCUCAGGAGGGGGAUAACAGCUGGAAACGGCUGCUAAUACCCCAUAUGCCGCGAGGUGAAAUGAAUUUCGCCUGAGGAUGAGCUCGCGUCUGAUUAGCUAGUUGGUGUAGGUAAAGGCUCACCAAGGCAUCGAUCAGUAGCUGGUCUGAGAGGAUGAUCAGCCACACUGGGACUGAGACACGGCCCAGACUCCUACGGGAGGCAGCAGUGGGGAAUUUUCCGCAAUGGGCGAAAGCCUGACGGAGCAACGCCGCGUGAGGGAUGAAGGCCUCUGGGCUGUAAACCUCUUUUAUCAAGGAAGAAGAUCUGACGGUACUUGAUGAAUAAGCCACGGCUAAUUCCGUGCCAGCAGCCGCGGUAAUACGGGAGUGGCAAGCGUUAUCCGGAAUUAUUGGGCGUAAAGCGUCCGCAGGCGGCCCAGAAAGUCUGCUGUUAAAACGUGGAGCUUAACUCCAUCAUGGCAGUGGAAACUGUUGGGCUUGAGUGUGGUAGGGGCAGAGGGAAUUCCCGGUGUAGCGGUGAAAUGCGUAGAUAUCGGGAAGAACACCAGUGGCGAAGGCGCUCUGCUGGGCCAUCACUGACGCUCAUGGACGAAAGCCAGGGGAGCGAAAGGGAUUAGAUACCCCUGUAGUCCUGGCCGUAAACGAUGAACACUAGGUGUCGGGGGAAUCGACCCCCUCGGUGUCGUAGCCAACGCGUUAAGUGUUCCGCCUGGGGAGUACGCACGCAAGUGUGAAACUCAAAGGAAUUGACGGGGGCCCGCACAGCGGUGGAGUAAUGUGGGUUUAAUUCGAUGCAACGCGAAGAACCUUACCAGGGUUUGACAUCCUGCGAACCUCUUGGAAACGAGAGGGUGCCUUCGGGACGCAGUGACAGGUGGUGCAUGGCUGUCGUCAGCUC
rnacentral:rRNA from 1 species